rnacentral:rRNA from 1 species
UACGUAGGUGGCAAGCGUUACUCGGAAUCACUAGGCGUAAAGCGCAGGUAGGCGGUUUGAUAAGUCUGUUGUGAAAGCUCCCGGCUUAACUGGGAGAGGUCAACGGAAACUGUCAGGCUAGAGUGUGGUAGAGGUAGCUGGAAUUCCCGGUGUAGCGGUGAAAUGCGUAGAUAUCGGGAGGAAUACCUAUGGCGAAAGCAGGCUACUGGACCAUCACUGACGCUGAGGCGCGAAAGCGUGGGGAGCGAUCCGG